UAUGAUGUGGGGGUGGGGAGCUUG
rnacentral:piRNA from 1 species